GGCAAGGUGGCCGAGCGGUCUAAGGCGCUAGUUUCAGGACUAGCCACUUUGAGUGGCAGCAACUUACUAGUCCGAAAGGGCGUGAGUUCGAAUCUCACCCUUGUCA
rfam:Gloeophyllum trabeum ATCC 11539 unplaced genomic scaffold GLOTRscaffold_00005, whole genome shotgun sequence.